rnacentral:rRNA from 1 species
GAUGAACGCUGACAGAAUGCUUAACACAUGCAAGUCCACUUGAAUUUGGGUUUUUAACUUAGGUUUGGGUGGCGGACGGGUGAGUAACGCGUAAAGAACUUGCCUCACAGCUAGGGACAACAUUUGGAAACGAAUGCUAAUACCUAAUAUUAUGAUAAUAGGGCAUCCUAUAAUUAUGAAAGCUAUAAGCGCUGUGAGAGAGCUUUGCGUCCCAUUAGCUAGUUGGAGAGGUAACGGCUCACCAAGGCGAUGAUGGGUAGCCGGUCUGAGAGGGUGAUCGGCCACAAGGGGACUGAGACACGGCCCUUACUCCUACGGGAGGCAACAGUGGGGAAUAUUGGACAAUGGACCGAGAGUCUGAUCCAGCAAUUCUGUGUGCACGAUGAAGUUUUUCGGAAUGUAAAGUGCUUUCAGUUGGGAAGAAACAAAUGACGGUACCAACAGAAGAAGUGACGGCUAAAUACGUG